CCUACGGGGGGCAGCAGUGGGGAAUAUUGGACAAUGGGGGGAACCCUGAUCCAGCCAUGCCGCGUGUGUGAAGAAGGCCCUCGGGUUGUAAAGCACUUUCAGUGAGGAAGAACGCCUGGUGGUUAAUACCCAUCAGGAAAGACAUCACUCACAGAAGAAGCACCGGCUAACUCCGUGCCAGCAGCCGCGGUAAUACGGAGGGUGCGAGCGUUAAUCGGAAUUACUGGGCGUAAAGCGCGCGUAGGUGGCUUGAUAAGCCGGUUGUGAAAGCCCCGGGCUCAACCUGGGAACGGCAUCCGGAACUGUCAAGCUAGAGUGCAGGAGAGGAAGGUAGAAUUCCCGGUGUAGCGGUGAAAUGCGUAGAGAUCGGGAGGAAUACCAGUGGCGAAGGCGGCCUUCUGGACUGACACUGACACUGAGGUGCAAAAGCGUGGGUAGCAAACAGGCUUAGCUACCCCAGUAGUC
rnacentral:rRNA from 1 species